AUUGAACGCUGGCGGUAUGCUUUACACAUGCAAGUCGAACGGUAGAGGGGCAACCCUUGAGAGUGGCGAACGGGUGAGUAAUACAUCGGAACGUGCCCAGUCGUCGGGGAUGACGUAGCGAAAGCUACGCUAAUACCGCAUACGACCUGAGGGUGAAAGCGGGCGACCUGCAAGGGCCUCGCGCGAAUGGAGCGGCCGAUGGCAGAUUAGUCAGUUGGUGAGGUAAAGGCUCACCAAGCCGACGAUCUGUAGCUGGUCUGAGAGGACGACCGGCCACCCUGAUACUGAGACACGGCCCAGACUCCUACGGGAGGCAGCAGUGGGAAAUUUUGGACAAUGAGCGCAAGCCUGAUCCAGCCAUAUCGCGUGCAGGAAGAAGGCCUUCGGGUUGUAAACUGCUUUUGUCAGGGAAGAAAUCUUCUGGGCAAAUACCCUGGGAGGAUGACGGUACCUGAAGAAUAAGCACCGGCUAACUACGUGCCAGCCGCCGCCGUAACAC
rnacentral:rRNA from 1 species